rnacentral:tRNA from 2 species
GCACCUGUAGCUCAGCUGGAUAGAGCGCUGCCCUCCGAAGGCAGAGGUCAGAGGUUCGAAUCCUCUCAGGUGCGCCA